AUGUCAGCCCCUGUCCUGUUGUGUUUUUUUUUCGCACCCUGCUUCUCCGUCCCAUUCCGGGGCUGCCCCCGGUCCCUCCAGCUGCAAGAUUUUUUCCACCUGGAUUUUCCCCAGAGCUCUCGGGGUGCCGCAGGAACCCGAGGGGGUGCUCUGCCGCCCCGUCCCAUGGCACGGAGGCGUUUGGUGGGGUCGGGAUCCCGCGCUCCCUCGCCCCGCGGAGCUCAGCGCCGUGCAGCAUCCCGACCUCCAGCGGGGCGCACGCAGGCGCCCAGCCCUGGGUGUGAAUUUCGCAGCUGGGAAUCCCUCAAUUUCCUUCACGUGGGGCUCGGGCUUUUCCUAAAAACACACAAAUCCCCACCCCGCUCCUCCUGCUCGCAGCCUCCUGCCCCGAAACCCUCCCGGCGUGCGGGAACGGGGGUCACCCACGGCGGGGUGGGCAGGGUGCCGCGGCGGGGCGCCGGGCUCCUUCUCCUCCCUCCCCAAAAAGUUCCUCCCGAAACUCGGCGGCCGAGAUUGAGUCAGCGACGGGCCGUGACAUCAGCUCGUGGUUUCUCCGCCGAGCGGCAGGGCUUCCUGUUGUGCCCCAGCAGCUCGCCGCGCUCGGGCGCCUCAAUAUUUAUAUUUAUUUCUAUACGCGCGCAUAGGCGCGGAGCCGGGGCCGGCAGCGGGGCCGGAGAGCCGUGCGCCGCGGCGAGGCCCCGCCAAGAGGAUGAAAACAUGGGGCUCAAGUUAUCCUGCCUCAAAGGUGGGUCCGGGAGGGUCCUGGGCGCGCAGGGAGGGCUGGGAGGGAGGUCGCGCUCCGAGGAGCUUUGCUGACUCCUAAAGGCAUCGCUGCUGCCAGCGCGGGGCUUGGCCUCUGAAGUGAUGCUGCUGCAGCUUGAGCGAGGGGACGCCGGGGGGGGGGGGUUCCAGCCCUGGAAAAUUCGGGGUACAGUCCUGAGCUCGCUCCCGCUGCCCUGGGCUUGGGGUUUGCUCAGCGGUAGGGCCGCGGGAAGGAUGCUCGGGGUUGGGGUGCUUGGGGCCAGGCUGGGAGCCGGGCUGACCCCAAGCAUCCUUGGGUAGCAGUGCCCGGCACGGGCCAGCUCGCUGCUGCUUUCCGUAGAAAAAUGCUUUUCGUGCUUUUCACCAAACUUCACUUUUCCUAACGGGGGCCGAGCCACCACGGCGCCUGCAGGCGCUCUGGCUCGGCGAGAGGGACGUGGGAGCUGUUGGCGCGCCCAGGCCACUCGUUAGCUCCGAGUGCCACUUGGCAGGGGCUGGGACGUGGGGUUGGGGACGUUGGGGACUUGUGGCACGGCCCGGGCGGGCUGCAGGGACGGCUGGGGGGGCGGUGGCCACCUCGCGUCCACGCGGCACCGGCACCCGUGGGGGCGCAUCCCCUGCUUGGUCUGGGGAUGGAGCCAAGGGCGGUUUGGGAAGCGGUGGGAACCCGGUUCCGUUGUCACAGCGAGGGUGUCCCCGGCAAUGCUUCACCCCGAAAUGAGCCCUCGGAGCCCUGGAGGAGAGGGGACACAUCACCCAUGGGGUCCCCGUCCAUGGGGUCCCCAUCCUGGUGUCCCCGUCCAUGGGGUCCCCGUCCCUGGUGGAUAAAGUUUUCCCCCCGAAACCUCCAAUAGUGAUGAAGUUUAAAGAGCUGCCUCCCCCCUCUGUUUUCUGGUCCAUUUAACCCCCC
rnacentral:lncRNA from 1 species